UGGCUCAGUUGGUAGAGCAUGGUGUUUGCAACGCCAGGGUUGUGGGUUUGUUUCCCAU
rfam:Salmo salar isolate Sally breed double haploid chromosome ssa25, whole genome shotgun sequence.